rnacentral:rRNA from 1 species
GGUUAAGCGACUAAGCGUACACGGUGGAUGCCCUGGCAGUCAGAGGCGAUGAAGGACGUGCUAAUCUGCGAAAAGCGUCGGUAAGGUGAUAUGAACCGUUACAGCCGGCGAUGUCCGAAUGGGGAAACCCAGUGCAAUUCGUUGCACUAUCGUUAACUGAAUACAUAGGUUAACGAGGCGAACCGGGGGAACUGAAACAUCUAAGUACCCCGAGGAAAAGAAAUCAACCGAGAUUCCCCCAGUAGCGGCGAGC